rnacentral:rRNA from 1 species
CCUACGGGAGGCAGCAGUGGGGAAUAUUGGACAAUGGGGGCAACCCUGAUCCAGCCAUGCCGCGUGUGUGAAGAAGGCCCUCGGGUUGUAAAGCACUUUCAGUGAGGAAGAACGCCUGGUGGUUAAUACCCAUCAGGAAAGACAUCACUCACAGAAGAAGCACCGGCUAACUCCGUGCCAGCAGCCGCGGUAAUACGGAGGGUGCGAGCGUUAAUCGGAAUUACUGGGCGUAAAGCGCGCGUAGGUGGCUUGAUAAGCCGGUUGUGAAAGCCCCGGGCUCAACCUGGGAACGGCAUCCGGAACUGUCAAGCUAGAGUGCAGGAGAGGAAGGUAGAAUUCCCGGUGUAGCGGUGAAAUGCGUAGAGAUCGGGAGGAAUACCAGUGUCGAAGGCGGCCUUCUGGACUGACACUGACACUGAGGUGCGAAAGCGUGGGUAGCAAACAGGAUUAGAUACCCGGGUAGUC